GGUACCUGAAGCUGAAAACAUUUCUGCGUGGUGCCUGCUUCUCCGUACAACGUGGCAUGUCUGCCUGUUCAUGCAGAGGAGGGGAGCAGGAGAAACAGUGGCUGUUUGGAGGAGGCUGUGGAACGGUCUUCUGGAGCUGCAGAGUCAACGGCACGUGUUCUGCCCCUUUGGGAAAAGCCGAAUUUGAUGUUGGUGGACCCCCUCCCUGGCCAAGCAGCGCCGUGUACAACUAAGAAAGCAAAAUGGGAAAAAAUUGGAGAGGAACUCCCUUAAUUGGGAUACCGCAUAGAAAAGUCUGCAGUCUGUGCAGUUCACAACAGCUUUUCUUUAAAACUUACCUUAAUAUUUCAUCCAUCUUAUCCAUAUAGUUCCUGCAGGUCCGUUUACCAACGAGAAUUCCGCUGGUGUCGAGAUGCUCAAAAGGGGCUCGGUCUGUCCUGAUCUCCUGUCCUGAAGCUACUCUGCGCUCAGGAAAUCCUGUCUCUCACCACACACCAGGCUAAAAACCACCCAAUAAAUCAAACCAGAGGAAAGGACUUCAGCUCAUUCUUCACUUAGGUGGAAGGUUAAAGUUGUCCAGGCAAAUCUAGCUCUUCUGAAGCUAAGAAAAUGUGCCAUGAAAUAACCUUAAAUCGUAAGUUUUCUCCUGAAGGUUGUACUUAACAUACUUAUCGUGGAUUUUUCUGCAGGACGCAGUUCAACUCCCUGAUUAAAGAUCGUACUGGAAGCGGGCCAGGCUGAAGUCUAUUUUGGUAGACCAAAAAUGGGUUGAAAGGGGAUGGAAAGGUUAAAAUAUUGCCUUAUUUAUGUGCAAAACAUGAACCGAGCAAGGUAAUACUGGACCGGUGCCUGAAAAGCCAAGAAGCGAGGCAAACUAUAAAUACAAAGGGAAACUAAACCAAUAUAUUAGUGUGUGAUCAGAAGAAAUGAAGUGCCUUAGCAAAUGAUCUCCUGUGGAGUGAGCGGCAGUAGCAGUUCCUGUGCAGGUUUUCAGUCCGCUCCCGUGGUGAGAGAACAUCGUGCGAUGGGCUAAGAGUGAAGAUGCACUUCCUUACUCGAGUUAGCGGGCAGGUGGCAAUCUGCAGUAAUGUUUUUGUUUUCAGCUGUGUGCUUGUACUUUUAAGAUGAUGAAUGACCAUAAAAUGCAGAUUAACCACUGCUGGUGACAAGGAGAAGAAUCAGGUAGCUGAUUUAUUUUUUUGUCCCCUCUCAGGUUUUAUGGGGGUCACCUUAAGUUGGUCUGGACUCUGGUUUUACUGUUCAGCAACAAAAGCAGUGUUGAAGCAGAAAUACUUCUCAGCACAUUCUAGGUAUGUCCUAUUAUUAAAGCUAUUGGUGAUACUCGAUCUGUCCUUGUCGUGGACCCCCAAAGGUGGGCUGUUCCUCUGGAGACCUUGCCCAGCCCUCGCCUGCCAGGCAGAGCAAGCAGCGCGGAGCACGGCGCCGUUCGUCACCAGGCUCUUUGCUGUCGCCGUUCGUCACCAGGCUCUUCACUGCCCUGUGUCGCUUGCGCAGAUCCAUUUCGCAUCUGACUCAGCGUCACUAUUUGCCACUGGGACGUUGUUGGCAAGUCAAGUCCUGGCGUGAGCUUGGGGGCUUUCUUGCACCCCUGCCCCCUGCGUAGUUAUUCAUUUAAUGGCUGUGUUACAGAAGGGAGCAGCUGUUGUUUUUAAUUUGAAUACAGAGCUGAUGUCUCUCAAGGAGUCUUUGUCCCCAUAUUAGGAGGGAACAGAAAGAAUACCGUACUGGAACCUUCUCGUGAUAUUUUUACUACAUCCUACUCAUUUUUUUUUCUUUUUCUGACAGAGGGUUAUAUAUCUUAAUUAUCUUUUGGCAAAUCAUUAUUUUUUCCAGUUUAUCAUUUCAUAUGUUUGAAAUGGAAGCUAUUUAUAGCCUUCACUUUGACUUGCUUCUGCCUAAAUAUAUUUUGGGGUUGCUUGCAAGGGUUAAGAAGCGACGCAGACAUCCCCUUUUAGGAAAAAUGGGGAAAUAAUCACAGACUCCUUUUCCUUCCUCUCGGACACAGUCACAAAGCUUUUACCAUUAUUGUCUGGUCAUUGCAGAGAAAUACAAUGAAAAUAUGCAAAAAGAGAGAAAAUAAAUCUGCUCCAAACCCACAUUUAAGUAACCAAGUUAUUUAAUAUGGUUGUGUGAGGUGGCAGCUGUGUAAGAGUAAGGUGUGAGAUAUACAGGGCAUCAUUGUUUAAGAAAAGCAGGGAUGUAUUCCAGUGUGCUGCGGACGCUUACCUGGGAACCUGCUUCCCGUUACACUUCAGGCAGUUCCCUGGACAAUUAAAUCUGCAGUUCUAUUACAUUCCUCAAUUCCUCAUUUGUGUCUCAUUCAGUGCUGAUUUUCAUCACCCAGUGAAACAAUUUGGGGUUUUACUUUUCCUGGAGAACAAAGCUAACAGACGGUAGAAACGCGUCAGUUUAUAGGUGUUGAACAAGUGAAUCUCCAUUCCGGGACUGCCCAAGAACUGCUGGAUUUGGGAUCCUGGUGCCAGGUGGCCGUGGGCUGUGGUCACUCUUAGGUGAGUAAACCAUUGAGAUAUGAGAAGUCUGUUCUCACCCCCUUAAAUCUUAACUCUAUGUUCCCCUUGUCACAGUGCCAUGGAAACAGCAAAAUUGCAGUAAUUCCUUAUGGCCAGGCCUCUGGGUCCCGCUAGUAAUUGUAAACCUUCAGAGUUCACCCCUGUUGAUAGAAGAGUUUUAGAAGCACGCAGAAGACUGGUAGAUCCCUUAGUCUGCAGCAUCGGGGAGCGGGAGAGACCUUCACGUCACAGCACAAGAUAAAAGGUCACCAUGUUUGCUGGGGGGCAGCAGCCUGACCACACCACAGUCGUGGUGAACGGAGCCGCUGCUUUGUGUGCCUCUUCCUCUCCCACCGCCUUUAUUUCAAACCCAGCAUCUUCCCGGGAGGCAGAUGCGUUCCUUUAGUUACUGCUGGUUGUUUAAUAACAGCCCUUCAGCCAUUGUGGGCCAGCUUUCAGGCUCGGGGGGUUAAAGCUAAAACUGAAGUACCGGCCGUCAGGUCAGUGCGAUCGUACUAGUAAAGAAGAAAAAGAUGUGCAGUUCCUAGAAAUGAAAGAGCUGGUUUAUUUUGUUAUGUUUUUGAGACAUUUUGCGACAUUAGCAAGGGUUGGACAAGUCCCACUGAAUCUCAGAAUUAACAAUGAGACUAAUGCAAAUGCAUAUUCUUUAGAGUAAUUCUUAAGAGUAAAACAUGUAGGGAUUUCAGUGGAAUCAUAGAAUCACAGAAUGGUUUGGGUGGGAAGGGACCUUAAAGGCCACCCAGUGGCACCCCCUGCCCUGGGCAGGGACACCUCCCACCAGCCCAGGUUGCUCCAAGCCCCGUCCAACCUGGCCUUGAACCCCUCCAGGGAUGGGGCAGCCACAGCUUCUCUGGGCAACCUGGGCCAGGGGCUCAGCCCCCUCACAGCAAAGAGUUUCUUCCCCAGAUCUCAUCUCAAUCUCCCCUCUUUCAGUGUAAACCCCUUCCCCCUCGUCCCAUGGCUCCCCUCCCUGCUCCAGAGUCCCUCCCCAGCUUUCCUGGAGCCCCUUUAGGGACUGGCAGGGGCUGGAAGGUCUCCCCGGAGCCUUCUCUUCUCCAGGCUGAACCCCCCAGCUCUCUCAGCCUGUCCCCACAGCAGAGGGGCUCCAGCCCUCCCAGCAGCCCCGGGGCCAGCACAAUCAUUCUAGUGCUACACUCAGGUAAUAGAAUUUGGCCCCAAGAGACUGAAGAGAACUAUAUCGCUUUUAUUGAGUUGAAUAUAGCUGUCGUGCUCUGUUCAGAAGAAUAUUUUAAUCAGGCCCCAUAUAAUAUUACCUGUACUCUAUGACUAAUUUCUACAGAAAUACUAAUUUAAUUCUAUAGCAAUUUAUUGCCUAAGAAAGAACUAAAUUGCUGGGCAGGAUAAUGGCGAGAAGAAAGAACCUAGCAGGAGGGUUAAGUGUGGCGGAUUUCCUUGACCACAAGGGUACCAACUAUAAUACAAGGAAACAAAGUUCCUGGAAGAAGAAUAAAUAAGGAGCUGAAUACCUCACUAGCAGGUAGGAGCUGCUUAAUCUGAUGAACGACAUUGUGCUUUUCCCUGCUUGGAAGCCAGGCUCCAUCUUGCCCGACAUAAAAGCUGUUUCACAGCCUCAAGCCAUGAGCUCAUAAACAACACAGAAAAUAAUGUUGUUAUUGUAGUAUUUCUGCUGAUUUCCUCUCCAUAUCAUUACCUUGCUAAAUCAGAAAAAAAGCUAUGCUAAGAAACGUAAAUUGUUCUCAAAAUCAAGGGGGAGAGUGUUUGCAUGGGUUUAUUGGUGUUGGUUUUUUUUAAACGUUAUGGAUUAUGUUGGUAAACUCGUAUUAAGUGGGAAGUGGUUUUACUUCUUCCCCUGCAGGUUUUACAAUUAUUAAAAUACAGAGGUUAUAAUGUAAUUUAUUUAAAUCUGUUCCGAGGAACGUAGAAUAAAAUACUCAAAAUUACUCAGGCCUGCCGAGUUUUUGAGGAUCCUUUCAGAAAGAUUUACAAGUGUCUGAAUGAACCCAGGAAGAUUAAACAUCAGAAGUACACUGCUUAAAUAAUGAGCUUGUAAUCGCAGCUCUUAUGUACUAGAAACAGGCAUUUUGGUCCUUUGCGCUCCUCAGCUGAGCUGGAAGCUGCCUCCCCUUAAUUCGCCUUUACUCUACCGCGGAACUUCCUUUGCGCAGGGCGCUGGGGCUCCGCUGGCUUCGAUGGCCAGGCUCCGACCGCAAACUGCAUCAACAAACAUUUUGCUUUUCGUUAGAGUAAUUCGGAUUUCAGAUUCCUAAUUUGCCAAACCGGAGACCGAGAUCAAAAUUUAUUGUUAGUGUAAGCAGACGUAAGUCCCUUGGUCUGAAAAGGUUAAAGGUCAUUGGAAACGAUCCCAGUACAAUCUCGGAAUAACGGGACUCCUUUUGCAUCCCACAUUUCUUGGAAACCCCCUAAAAAAGAAGCAGAGGUCACGCAAGCGUCGGAGCUGGGUCAGGAGCAAGUGGUUGUGCGUUUGCAGCGAUGGCACGUUUUGUAUCUAAACAUUCAAAAAAUUCUGUCUGAAGUCUCCCGUUCAAAGUAUCGGCAUACUCAGGGCUUUGCUAACGGCCGCCUGCGAGUCCUGCCCCAAACAGCAAUAAAUGUGACUUGAACCCUGCCUGCUUCGCGAGUCUGUGUCCGACUGUGAUGGUUCUCAUGUAACUUUUUUACCUACUUCUUUUCCCUCUUCCUGCUCCCCCGCCUGUGGACGGGCUGGAGCUGGGUCGCAGUGGGGGAAGGUCCGAUGGCUGUGCGCGGGUCAGUUCUGCGAUGGCACAACGCCGCUUCCGUCAGACCCUUCACCUCAUCUGGAGGUUAGAAAUUAUUCAAAAGUGAGAGGGGUGAGAAAUGUAUUAGCGUGAUCCGUUUCCAGCCCGAAGGCUUGAAUCCAGUUUUGAUUAGAAGACGGGAAGCUAAUUUCUUGGAAAGAUUCAUUUGGUUCCAGUCCUCCCUCCUAACGCCUUUCUGUAGCUGCUGGCCCAGCGUGGCUCCGUAGUCGUACAUCCAGCCGAAUGCGACCCAGCGCCUUUCCGUCUCAAUCAGAAGCUGAAAACAUGUUUCGACGUAGAUGAAAAUAGCGUUUCCAUUUCAUCUGCGGGCUCCGGUCUGGCAUGGCUGUGACUGGAAUCGAGAAGGUGGUUUCUCAGAGCCGCGAAUGCUUGCCUGGCUCUUCGAGGGGACAAACAGCUAUCAGCUCUUUACCUGGCCAUAAAAAUACAUUUCCUAUAUAGAAUGUGUCAAAUCCUUUUCCUGGCGUGACAGUAAAUGCUAAGAGGAUUGCCAGCCUGGGACAGACAGACUUGAAAUGGUGCUGGAGUAGUGUUCAGCUUAGCUUUUUCCUAUUUAAAAAAAAAAGGGAGGGGGAAUUUAACGCUGGAAAACUGAACCAACUUUGCGGUCUGGGAUAUUGUAAACUCCGUUAAUCAACAGGGCAGGUUCACCAAUAGCUUCAGGAAAUCAAACUUUCUUCUGUGAUCUCUUCUCAGUGUACCUCGGCCCCGAGUCGGAGAGGAAUCUGAUGGUGCAAAGAAUCAGAAAGUGACUUUUAAGCUGUUCAGCUCCCUCAGGCCUUGACAUCCCCAAAGGUAACACCAAGAGCCGGUUACAGGGCGGCCUCCUGCCAACGUGGGAGCGCUGCCGUAAGAAACACCCCUUCGUCUCCUAUUGCCCAGGGAAACGUUUGGUUCUCCUGAAGCACUGUAAGAGCUGACAGGAAAGGCUUUGCUUUUGUUUCUUAUUUUUAAACAUAACUUCCAGUAUCCUGAGCCUUAGCUGUCUUCCUCUCACUUCAGCCCGGGCGUGCGCAGAUCAGGUUUAUUCUGUUAGCCCUUGGCAGCGCCGGCGCUGGUGUAAGUAGCUGUUUCCCCGUAACGAACCCGGAGUCAAGCACGGCAGAAGACUUGCGCGGUGCUCAAACAGAGGAGAGGGACGACAAGGACCGGAGGUAAGCAGCAGACUGCCGGCAGCGAGGUGGCACCUGGGCAGCGUGAGCACUGCCCAGGUAAGGGCUGGCAGAGAGGAGAUCUUCUCCCUCCUGUUUUCUGCGGGCAGCAGGGGUGCUGCGGGCAGGGAAGCCGCCACUGCAGCCGUGGGAUGGGCUGAGACUUUGGAGCAGCUGCAUUUAACAGACUGUGCAGGAGGCUCCCUGGAGGCUUUCAUGGUUCUUGCACUUCUAACGGGAGUGACUGUGGUCUAACCGUGGAAAGGAGGAUGGGGGUGACAGAGGAUUGCUGCUGUACCCGCUGGCUGCUCAGCGCUCUGUUUGCCCCCGUUUCAAUAACGAGGGCAUGUUACUUUAACUAAACACCUUGUUUAAGGCCUUACUGUUUUUGAGGCAUCGACAGGUAAUGAUAGUGGAGAGAAAAAGGCACCUUUUCCCAGUCCCGAGGUAGUUCGGAGACGUGUGUUCCUCUCCAUCUGCUCAGGAACGAGACCAUGAUCGAGGCAGGCAGCAGGACUGAAGAAAGUCAAACCUUUGAUUCUCUCCUUGGCUCGUGGUCAGUUGAGUGCUUUACACACAACCCCGUUAGACACAGUCCCUACGGUUCGGGUAUAUCUCUCCUCAACAGGUUCCAAGACGUCCCUUGUUUGAAAAACCAUUAAUAAAUGAAAGUGGCUGUCUCUUUCCAUGCUAGAAACUCUUUCUUCCCUCAGUAUCUCCUGGGUCAUGUAUGGGAUGUGCUGUUCCAAGCCCAGAUUCACAUUUCAGUGUAAUUAGAUUGUCAUCCCUAUCUCUGUUGUAAUGAAAUAACAAGCCAAGCACGGGCAGAUAGGAGACUUAAACACUGCUGGGCUGCCAGCUUUGGAGAGCAGAUCCAGGUAAUUUGUUUUAAUGGGACAGUUUAUUACCAGCUUUUCUUCCCCUUAGACAGAUGACCGCUUAUUUUCUCCUGCCUGUUAAUGAAAAAAAAAAAAUUGUGAAUGAACAACAGUUUCUUGCAAUUUGUUUAAAAAUAUACUUUGGCCACAGCCAGUGUAGGCAGGAGUAGCCUCUUUGGACUCGUCCCAGGGGGUGUCCCACUGAAGCGGGUGUCUUGCUGCGUGGGAAGGAGUUUGGGCAUUGGGGAAUGUAAUGACUCCCCCCCUUUUUUUUUAAAUAGCUGCAUGUUAGAGAACAGGGAAGGUUCUGCCUUUCACUGGGUUCAGUUCUGCCAUCUCAUUGCCCUGUUCUUCCCUCCCUUCCGUCCUCCCAAAUUCCCUCUAGAUGCCUCCUGCUUCCCCUUCUGCCAGCUGGGAGAGUGAGGCUGGGAGAGCUGGGAGUGCUCCGGAGCUCCCCGGCAUUUCCCACUCCUCCGAGACCGCGCGGAGACCUGCACCAGAACGCCGACACUCUGCAUCACGCCUGGCCUGCGACACGGGGUGCGUCUCACCGGACUCCGACGCUGCGUAGCGAGAGCUCAAACUGCCCGGGGGCCAGCAGGAGCCGGGGCCAGGCGGCUGCGGGGUCUGACGGCACCGAGCAGCUCGCGACGGGCGCCCAGAGCGCAAUCGUGACUGGGAUGGUGAAUUGGGACCGGUGGGGAUUAGCAGCUGGGUGAUGUGGGUGGCAGGCAGAGCGCGGGUCUGGACACAAGCGCAUCGGCAGAGAAUAACCCAAUAAUGAAGGUUCAGCAUAAGGACAAAAGAAGGGACUUUGACAGCGGAGAAAAUUCCUUGCCAUUAGAGACAGGGCAUGGUUAGACAGGGAGAAAUGGGUGGAGGCGGAGAAAGUACAAAGAAGCCAAAACCCUCUAGAACAGGGACAGUCUUUAAAUAGACAUUUGGAGCUAAGGAACAUCGUUACAUACCUGUUCGCUCUGCAUCCAGGCA